UCUCCUUUGACGCAGUGGCUUAGCGUGUCGUUCUUAUAUUUGCCCCACGGGACUAAUAUGGCCUUUGCCCUACAUGAGGUUAUGCGAAAGUCGCGAGUUCGAAUCUCGCAAGGAGAA